CUCACUCACCCACGCGUUACCUGGCAUAUAAAUGGCAGAGCCUGGACAGCUCCUCACACUUGUCCACGGACUCGGAAAGAUUCAGCUUUGCUUCGACGGAUUUCGACCCUUGACGACCUAAGACAACCAACAGAGAUCAGCAUGGUGCAGCAGGCAGCCAAGGUGGCGGUGGCGAGCGUGGUGGUGGCUGCGCUUUGCCUGAUGACGGUGCCGCAAACACGUGCCGAGGAACGCCAAGACAGGUGUAGGUACAACUUGGGCGCAGGCGGAAGGCAGACCAUCUCCUCAUCUCUACCUGGCUCUGGCAGACCCUCUGGCAGAGACGUCUUCAAAGCAUCCUCCAGAAGGUGCUCGAAUUACAACUUCACUUGUGUGGGCGGCCGCCUCACCAUUUCUUUCAGCGAAACGGUGAGAUGCGCGAUCGGAAGUCUUACUGCCAUUUUCGAUGGGAGAAAUGUGAGGGUGUGUGAUAGCUUCUCAAGGACCCUCCAAACCAGGGGAAGAUCCUUAAGGGUCUUAGCCAGCCGCCGUGGUGGCUCUGGUGGUCACGGAGGACGCAGCUUAAGUGCGAGCAGCGAGAGUGGGGAUGUGGGCAGGAGACAGCAUGGUGGACACGGCUCUGGAGGACAUGGUUCUGGAGGACACGGCUCUGGAGGACACGGCUCUGGAGGACACGGUUCUGGAGGACACGGUUCUGGAGGACAUGGCUCUAAAGGCGACCGCUAUAAAUUCACAGUGGAGUGCAUUGUUGAAACCACAACCUCUUCCACUUCCACCACUACCACUACCACUACCACUACCCCUACCACUACCACUACCCCUACCACUACCACUACCCCUACCACUACCACUACCCCUACCACUACCACUACCCCUACCACUACCACUACCACUUCCGGUUAGACCUAUUACCUGCCACCAUCACUACCACCACCACCACAACGCCACUACCAAGAAGACGCCACCCCCACUACCAACCACCCAACCAGUAGUGCGGACCCCACUAUCGCCCUUUAGACUUACCACCACCAUCACGUCUACUGCCGCUACUACCACCAUGAUGACGAUGACAAGGCAAGAGGAAAGUAUGAUGAUUGGCACGAUGAAAAUUGUGGUGGUGGUUGUUUAUUAAUUGGGGUAUUUGAUCAUGGCGCCGCAACCACCAUGGACACAUAGCGCUGGUGGUGGUGGUGGUGGUGGUAAAGAUAUUUUUUGUUGAUAAAAUCACCGGAUUUUAUUUAUUUAUUUAUUUAUUUAUUUUUUUUGACUGAUGUACCCAUGAAACCCUGCACGUUUUGCACUUUCAAAUAUAUCAUAAUA